CCAGCACAACUUGUUCACUUGCUCCCUCUGCUAUGGAAAUAAUACUAAGCUGUCCCUUUCUCUGGCUCACUUGCUGAAGCACACUGGCCGUUCUCUAGUUCUGAAUGCUGUGCUGCAGUCAGGAUUUUACAGGAUGCUAGAGAAACUGGCAAGCGGCUACAAGCUAGGCAAAUGGAAGCUGAUCACAAUUUUUCUUGAGGGUUUUCAGUGAAACAGCUGACAACAAGAAGAGUUCUUAUGCAGAUCACAAGGAACUUGAAGAGACACCAAGGCCCCAGAUAAGACAGAAAGACCUACAGAGACACAUGAAUUUUUGGAAUAGAUGAGGCUGGAUCUAAGAAUUCUACUGACACUUUCGAAGUCUGAGGAUAGCAGAUAAUAAGAGAUCCUGAAAGUGUUAUGUUUUACAGCUCUUCACUAAGCUCUGGAGCGCUAGAGAUAACAACUGUAAAAAUAAUAAUGUAAUGAUUAAGAAUAUUAACUAUUAAGAAUAUUAUUUAAAGAAGCCUGCAAAUGAGUUGUCAUAGGCCACAGUAGUUCAGGUAGGAGCAGACAUAUGGACAGUUGUAUCACUGAAAUUGUUAAUUAACACACACGUGAGUACAUCAGGUGAUGAAUGUGCCAUUGGCUACGCAGGCAGGGAAUCCUGGAUCCUUCCAGUUCUGCAUAGAAAUGGUAACAGGGCAAGUCAGAGCAGAAGACAAAGAAGAGUGGGAAACCAAUUUUCUCAGGGUAUAUGAUAGGGUAUUUUGAAUUUACAGCAAAAAGUGUUCACUGUUUUCAGCAUUGGUGGGUGAAGAAGUCAGUAAUACCUGCAUCAUAGAGCCUCUGCUGCCCAUGGGGGAUAAAUGCAGGAUAUGGCUAGACCUGUUUUCAGUAAAGCAAUUAACUGUAUUUUUUGUUCAUUGCUUAAUUAGAGACUGGCAUCAGGAGGACCAAAAAGACAGAGCCUGACAGAAUGUGAUGUGUGGGAUAAAAAGUGUCAUUCUUUACUCUUAAGUAACUUUUCUCUAAUAUCUGUAUUUGUGCAUCUCACUGCCACUGACUCCUGUCUGACGGAUGUUAUUUUCUUUUGCUUGCUUUAUAGCUGUUCAGCAGUUUUAUUGCCCUGCCAUCUGUUCUAAACAGUUAAAGACACUUUUAUUCUCCAUUUUUCUUCAGGGAUGUAGAAGAGGCAUCUGUCUCCAAACACUUAAAAUCUCUCAAUAUACAUUGUGCAAAUUAUUUAUGCACAAUAACUCAGACACCUUUUCAGAAGGAUUUACGGAUGUCUGACAAAAGUGUAAUUUGCGUACACCUUUAAAUAAAACAUUGUUGACAUUUGGCAUACA